rnacentral:rRNA from 1 species
UUUUUUAAAAGUCCUUCUUUGAAGGUAUGCUUAAGGAGGGGCUUGCGACACAUUAGUUAGUUGGCAGGGUAAAGGCCUACCAAGACUAUGAUGUGUAGCUGGACUGAGAGGUUGAACAGCCACAUUGGGACUGAGACACGGCCCAAACUCCUACGGGAGGCAGCAGUAGGGAAUUUUCGGCAAUGGAGGAAACUCUGACCGAGCAACGCCGUGUGAACGAUGAAGUACCUCGGUAUGUAAAGUUCUUUUAUUAAGGAAGAAAAAAGAGUGGAAAAACUCCCUUGACGGUACUUAAUGAAUAAGCCCCGGCUAAUUAUGUGCCAGCAGCCGCGGUAAUACAUAAGGGGCGAGCGUUAUCCGGAAUUAUUGGGCGUAAAGGGUGCGUAGGCGGUUUAAUAAGUCUAUAGUUUAAUUUCAGCGCUUAACGCUGUUAUGCUAUAGAAACUGUUUUACUAGAGUGAGAUAGAGGCAAGCGGAAUUCCAUGUGUAGCGGUAAAAUGCGUAAAUAUAUGGAGGAACACCAGAGGCGUAGGCGGCUUGCUGGGUCUUUACUGACGCUGAGGCACGAAAGCGUGGGGAGCAAACAGGAUUAGAUACCCUGGUAGUCCACGCCGUAAACGAUGAGUACUAAGUGUCGGGCAAAACCGGUACUGAAGUUAACACAUUAAGUACUCCGCCUGAGUAGUACGUACGCAAGUAUGAAACUUAAAGGAAUUGACGGGACUCCGCACAAGCGGUGGAUCAUGUUGUUUAAUUCGAAGAUACACGAAAAACCUUACCAGGUCUUGACAUUUUCUUGCGAAGUUAUAGAAAUAUAAUGGAGGUUAUCAGGAAAACAGGUGGUGCAUGGUUGUCGUCAGCUCGUGUCGUGAGAUGUUAGGUUAAGUCCUAAAACGAGCGCAACCCUUGUCGUUAAUUGCCAGCAUGUAAUGAUGGGGACUUUAAUGAGACUGCCAAUGAAAAAUUGGAGGAAGGUGGGGAUUACGUCAAAUCAUCAUGCCCCUUAUGAUCUGGGCUACAAACGUGAUACAAUGGUUGAUACAAAGAGUAGCUGAAACGCAAGUUCUUAGCCAAUCUCACAAAAUCAAUCUCAGUUCGGAUUGAAGUCUGCAACUCGACUUCAUGAAGUUGGAAUCGCUAGUAAUGGCGAAUCAGCAUGUCGCGG